rnacentral:rRNA from 1 species
GUCCACGCCGUAAACGAUGUCGACUAGCCGUUGGGGUACUUGAGACCUUGGUGGCGCAGUUAACGCGAUAAGUCGACCGCCUGGGGAGUACGGCCGCAAGGUUAAAACUCAAAUGAAUUGACGGGGGCCCGCACAAGCGGUGGAGCAUGUGGUUUAAUUCGAUGCAACGCGAAGAACCUUACCAGGCCUUGACAUCCUUGGAAUCUUGCAGAGAUGCGAGAGUGCCUUCGGGAAUCAAGUGACAGGUGCUGCAUGGCU